rnacentral:lncRNA from 1 species
CUCAUUGUACCAUAGUACUAGUACAACGCAGUAUACGUGGACAAAACAUAAAACCACAACUAAAGAAGAGAGCAGAGGAGAGCAUAAAACCCGUCUCCUCUCCCAAGCCUUUAGGGAUCCCUAGAGACAGAACGCUACUUCAUGCAUGCCAUGCCGCUACAAACCAUGCGGCAAGGAAACAUGCUAGGAAUACCUAAAGAUCAUGUUGGAACCAUGAAAUUGUCAUGGAAAUAUCAGCAAGGAUGGGGGGUUGAAAUAGAGCCCAUCCUUGUCCCAGACUCAGAAAACCAGCUGGGGAUUCCUUAUGGCGUUUUUAAUUAUCAGGAGAAGAAAGCGGUCAGAGGGAAAGGUCCAGAUAAAAUGAUGGUCCUUACUCCUUAAGGUGCUCCUGCUUUGUGAAUGGUGAUCCUAAUGCGAGAUGCCCACAUGCUGACUCUUAAAACCUGCAACCUGUGCGCAUCCUGGAUACUUCCUGCUCGUGAAGAUCGUGUGCGAUGCUCAGUCCUUCUCCUUCAUGUAGGUUGGACUGCGGGGAGGAGGAGGAGGAGGAGAAAGGGAGGCCACGGCGGUCCCUACUGCCGGGACUUCCG